UCACCGUCACAAUGCGCUUUCUUCUCAUGUCAUAAUACGCUUUUACGAUUUGUAUGGACAAAAUCGUAAUAUAAACGAGGUGGUACUAAUAGCAUGUUCGUCCGUCCGUUCGACCUGAUUCGAUCUAACACUCCUGUAAUUUUAGGUAAUUAACCCGCAAAGUUUGUGUUUCGUUCCAGAUUGGGCCUUUUUUAAUGGGCCUGCAGAAAAACAAUACGUGUAGGACACAGGAGCACGGGCUCCUCAAUGCAUACGGUAGCGCCGCCGCCGCCGCGCGCCCGUUCCUCUCUGGCGGCGCGGCCGCCCUGCUCUCGUUCCCCUCCCUAUCCAUCUCAAUCUUCUCCCGCACCACCACGAUCUUCAACCUCCUGCUGCCGUAUGUCUCCGAUUUGGAUCGGAGUCCGUGUUCCCCCAGGAUAAGUGCUGCAACACGAAUCCAUGGCGUGCCCGACCCAGAUUUCAGAGGGACUUGGCUGCCAUUAGAAGGAGCCCUCGACCGGAAUCUCCAUUAAAUCGCUUCAUAUCGCAACUUUUGAAGAGUCGUCCAGGAUCGUCUCAGCCGAGUUCGCCGGAAGAAAAUCCGCCGCCCAAGCGUACUACAUCUGAGCCGGAAGAACAUCCCCUGCCGAACAUGCUACCCCAGAGAUCACAUCUUCCUUUGCUAGAACACGUGAGCUGAUUCCGACUUUGGCCUCAAGUUGCUCCCGUCAAUGACAAGUGGGAGGAGUGGGAGUGCUGUGUUCAUGAAAUUGAGUAUCUCAGAAGAAUUUGGUUUGGCACUUAUUUUCCUCAACCUGUUAUUCUUCAAAUGUGCUUCCCAUGGAUUUGAUAAAUUUGGUGAGAUAAUGUUAUGUGUCAGGUAUGGCCAUAAGAUACUCAUGAAACUUAUUUUAUUUUGCCUCACACAAGAUGUAUGUUGUUUAGACUCAUGUACUGCCAGUACUGGUAGAUCGAUGAUCUAAGGAUCAUAUGAAUGAUUAAUGGAGGAUAAUUCAUAUUCAGUUCUCCUCUCAAUUUUUGUGGUGCCAAGCUUGAUCUUUAUCCAUCUAACUGACUGAAAGUGCCUUCUAAUCACUAUUGAACGCAUAUGUUAGUUAGUUUGACUGUAUACACCACACAAAAAGUAAAAAAUGAAUUCUAGAAAAAAUUAGACACAAAUACUAUAGAACCAGUGGACCCUCGAGAAACAAAAGGCACACCUAAAGGAUUUUUUUUCUUAACAAAAUGUAUUAAUUUGACUAUUUGAGUAUAAAAAAUGUGCAAUCGCAAUCUUGCUUUUUCAAGGAAAACAGGGGACUGCUACAUACUCGAUAUGGAUCGAGGCUAAUUAUUGAUCUUCCAAGUUAAAAAAUCUGAAAAUAACUUUCAUUUAGUAAUGGAUACAUAGUCAAGAAAGGAUGCCUUUCCCGAAAGAUACAAAACAAAAUCGUGUUCGUGUAUGUCCGGCUGACAGAUGAAUCGAUCUCCUUUCAAGUAUCAACCCAGCAACCUUCGUGUACGUACAUGUGUGCAUCAAGGUGGCCUGCGUACCACACAUCCCUUCACUAAUUCCAUCAGUAUCAUUCUUAACAAGGUAAGUAUGAUUCCCUAAUCCCUGAUUUUAUUAAUUGAUCUUUGAUGCUUCAUCCCUAAUGUCGUUAUACCUUAUUGAUUCUAUAAAAGAUCUCAAACAGGAACAUACCAUUUUUGAGGCUACGAUUCCUAUACCUUGCCUUGUCAAUUUGAUAAAAUUACAUGUGUAAUGGAGGUUGUAACUUAUUACGGUUUACAUUGUCAGAAUGAUAUCUGUGUCAUCUUAUAUUUGGUGUGCCGGAUUUUCUGAUGUAGAUGCUAUAUAAGAGGAAGCUAUUCGACAAUCCUGCUCAAGUUGGUACGGAUCAGAUCGAUUUUAUUCAGUAAAUAUUUAUGCUUGAUAGAUACAAGCCUCCCUCUUCUGUCCUUCUUUUCUCCAUCCUCUACAGAUCGCCAGCACAUGUGAAUCGUUCUCGUCAAGAGCAUGCUUGUGACAUCAUUACUAUAUGUGAUGCAGGGCAAAAGGAUGCUGUCAGAAUGUAAAAGCACAUUUAACCAUUUCCUGUUUUUUUCCUUGCCUGUUUUCGCCGUCGUAUACACUGCAUCUCCCACUGUAACGGACAGCCAAAUUUGUAUUCUUGAAAGUUUUAAUCAUUUCUAUUGCAACUAAGUGUUCAAGUGCAAUCUCUAGCCAAGUUCUCUUUGUUGUUGUGUUGAAUUUUGAGGAAAGGCGGCCAAGCAGCUCGUGGCAUCUGUGUCACGCCUGCUCUGCCGCUGCCUGGACCCGCCGACGACGUCGCCGGUUGAGCCGCAAGGGUGCAAGAUCAUCGUGGGGCCCAUUGCAUGGGCUCCGAGUAUGCUUGAUUGCCAUGUCGGAGGCGAAGGUGCUAGAGCUUGGUGGCGUGUUUGCAUUUCUGGAUGCAUGAAUAAUUGUCAAGGAGGCUGAAGCCAGCGCUAUUACAGUUGGACUGAAGGAAUUGUAUAACGUAUUUUGAGGCUCCUUGGUGGUGGAGAUCGACUACGCAGUGGGGAGAUGAGCUAGGGGCUGAUUCUGUAAGCAGAUCAUUGUCCUACCCAAUUACUGUUGAUAUUAAAUCUGCGCUGAGUAAUUUUUAGGCAUUAUCACAUCAGAACUGUCAAGAGGGACAAACAAUGGGCUGGCUCAUGAACUAGCCAAUGAUGCUAAAGCUCAUGGAGACCUUGUGGUUGCGUAUGGUGUCCCGGACCAACUCCAUGAUCAGCUCUGGAAGGAAAACAAUGCAGCCUUGACGUCGGCCUAAGUCUUGA